rnacentral:ncRNA from 2 species
ACUAUAUAAAGCAGGUCAGGUGUCAUCCCAGACUCAAUAGAGAAGCCGGUGCGAAACCGGUGCGGUCCCGCCGCUGUAUGGAGGAGCUAAGCUGCAGAUAUCGCCACUGUAUCCCAGAGGGUAUGGGAAGGCGCAGCGCUGCUAUGAUCCCAAGCCAGAAGAACUGCCUGACUGAUAAUCACCGA